GACGAACGCUGGCGGCGUGCCUAAUACAUGCAAGUCGACCUUAGUGGCGAACGGGUGAGUAACACGUGGGUAACCUGCCCAUCAGAAGGGGAUAACACUUGGAAACAGGUGCUAAUACCGUAUACUGAUGGAUGGACCCGCGGUGCAUUAGCUAGUGGGUGAGGUAACGGCACACCAAGGCCACGAGCCGUAACUGGUUUGAGAGGAGGAUCAGUAACACUGGAACUGAGACACGGUCCAGACUCCUACGGGAGGCAGCAGUGGGGAAGAUUGGACGAUGGGCGAAAGCCUGAUCCAGCCAUGCCGCGUGCGUGAAGAAGGUCUUCGGAUUGUAAAGCACUUUAAGUUGGGAGGCGUUACCAACAGAAUAAGCACCGGCUAACUUCGUGCCAGUAGCCGCGGUAAUAC
rnacentral:rRNA from 1 species